GCAAAUCUCCAAGGAGUCAAGGACUGUACACAGUGCUUUGAUCUGGCAUCGGAAGGCCAUCUACACGGUUGUGCCAUUCUUAAUGUAGCAUAUUACUGAGAGUCUUGAUACUGUUGUACUACGAUACAUCUGGUAUGUUCUAGUAGAUGUGAUUUUAAGCCUGUAAUAUUUUUCUCUUCUCUUUGCUGCAACAUUUGUUGAUGCAAAUGCGCUCUUAAAAAUCUUGAAUUUUGCCGUGUUAUUGUGCCUUGUGCAACUGUUGGUUCCAUUUUUUUUCUUUUCCAAGAUAGGUUUGUCACUGGAGAUUUAUUUUAUCUAUGCAGUGUAAUGGACGCUAGUUUGUGCUUUUCUGACUUGCGUAUCUGCCCAAGAUUCUGUAUGUCAUAAUUCAGCCUUUCCUAAUUAGGCAUGGUAAUUCAUAAGUGAAGUGCUUUGUGUUAUUAUUCCUUGUUGACUGACAGUGGCAUGUGGUUAUCUAUGGCGACCAUUCAACUGCAUUUCUAGUUACUCCAGCUUUCAUUAGGUUUGCUCCUCUGUCCAGCUACUUUACUUGAGUUAAAGUUGAUUCUGAAAUCUGUAAGAGACAGUUCCAUUAUUCUGAGUUCACUUGAUGCUUUCGCAUAUCGCACCAUAACUUCUAUGCCCAUAUCGCCCUGUUUUUUUUUUUCUUUGCCUUUUGUUUUCCUUUCCCUUUUCGCUGUUGCAUAAUGUUCAAAGAUAGUUCUGAGAACACUACCCAGUACCGCAUUAAUGAAAUCUGAGCCUAGUUAUUUGCUUGAAUCUAGAGCAUCUCAGUGCAAUCUUUGUUGGUUACUAGUAAUAAUAGUCUAACAGUAGUACUAGUAAACCAUUUGUGCUUACCCGUGACAGUGAAAUGGUGGAUCUAUCUCAUUUUGCCUUACAAAAAGAACAUGCGAGGUGCUGUAAAAAAAAUGUCUUUACAUUUUGAGAUAGAGGGAGUAUAUGGUUGGGUGGCUCCAAGGAGAUUUCGAACACAUCAUCCAGGAUCCUUAGGCAACCUCACGCGUUUCGUCAUUGGUCGCUCGCCAUUUACCACUUUCCGUACCUAUAGCAGUUGAAACUUCAGUUCACCUGGAAGGUGCUCUGCUUUCUUCAGCGGCCGGUGGUGUUGAUGUAAUGAACUUUUGCCUUGUUUUUGUCUGGAAGGAGGUCGCAUUCGUUGCUGUUUGUGUUGCUGCUGCACCGAAUUCUUUCCCCCUUUGACGUUGUGCUGUUCCUCUCAGUCACAACCAUCAGAACAAACUGAACUAAAAUGCACCAGAAACCUGACGCCGAUGCGUGCAGGUAUAAAAUUCAGUUCCACACGUCCAUCUUCCUUCUCCAGUCCCGCCUCCUGUAGUACAAGAGUUACGCUUCCCCUGCAGCUUCAGAGUUGAGGAGCAGAAGGAAGGUCAUGGUUACUAAAAAUCCUACGCCCUAAUUCUAAAUACAUCCAUUUCCGUGACAAAUAAUUCGGGACGGAGGAAAUACAUGGCAAAAUUCGGCAUGUGGACGCGUACAUUUUGCGUUCGAUGCAUAGCUUUGUUGGUCUCUCUGACAAGUGUGACUAUAGGUAGUGUUCUCUCCAAGGAACCUGCCCCUUUUUCUUCCUGAAGGCAACGUGUCCCUUUUCGUGCAGCGCGGCUCACCCUCCUCUUGUGUUUUUCUAAUCGAGGCUUCAUUUUCAUCGGUGGAUCGUCGUCGGUUCGUUCGUCGGUUGAUGUCGCGGCUUCUUCACACCAACCCGAGCGACCCUUUUCUCCACCAGACAUGUACGCACGAGCACGACGAUGAUUGUCCGCUAAGAAAUGCAGGGGAUUUAUUGAUGAGCGGCAGGUGGUCGACGCGAAGAAAGUAGCACCCCGCGCGAGGUUGGGACGUGCUACUGGGAUCGUGAACCGUUUUUAAAUCUGUACUUAUAUUUUUGGCUCGGGAAAGGGUGUGUGAGUGGCAAGCAAGCAAGCCAUCACGACGGCAGGUCGGAGAUCGCAUCUGCGCGGCUGGACGGGCCAUCGGAGGAGCGCAUCUGAGUUCUAUAUACAGGUUUUAGGUUGUUCAUCAUCGAUCCCACAUUUCUGUUGGGUGGUUGUCGUCUUGUUUAUACUACGUAAAAACAUUUUACAAACGGGGGGAUCUGUCACUCAACGUCUCACCGAAAAAUCGUGACUGGAAGGGUCCUAGAGCCUCACAAGUUUUUUUUCGAGCAAAAGAGGGUUUCCCCUCCGAUUUUCAUUAAAGAAACCAGCAAACAAACAUCCGAUAAGUUUUUAACCCGCACAAAUUAAACUAGCCCUAUUACAUGCCAGAAGGAGUCACAAAGUGAAACUAGGCCAAGCAGGAACUACAGAAGGAAAUGAAUCGGCCACAAAGGAUGAAACGCAUGCGCAAUUUUUCCACUUCACUUCGCCGGAACACCAAAAGAAGAUCUUCAUUCUUGUCACUGAUGAAAUUCGAAGAACUCCGAAACGCCACCCUUGCACAGCCUUGUAGACAUCAUUUGCUACUUGCACAAUGAGUUUUGCUCCCAGCAUCAACAUGUUUUUCCUCUGGGUCCCUUUUCUGCAAAAUAGCCCAGUCAGAAAUUCAUCCACACAACAUUUUCACAAUUCCCAUUGGGUCAGAAAUCUUUUUUUUAUCAAAUACAAUAUCAUUUGUGCAUCUCCAAAUUGCCCAUAACAGCGCUGAGACGCCAACCAAUAUAAGCUUCUUGCUAUCUUUCUGGAAAAAAUUUAGCCAGUUUUCAAGACAAUCAUUAAGGUCUCUAGGAGUACAUUUUAAAUCAAACGCACAUCUUACUAAUGCCCAGAUAAUUCUGGCUACCGAGCAAGAGAAAAACAAGUGAUCAAUUUUUUCAUCCUUGCCACAGAACACGCAAUGUUUAUCUCCUUUCCAGCCCCUUCUUAACAAGUUAUCUCUAGUAAGUAUACUUUUUCUAGCCAUAAGCCAUAGGAAGAAUCUAAUUUUAGCAGGAACUUUAAUUUUCCACAAAAAAUUUCUAGGAAACCCCACAUCAGUCUUGAUCAAAUAUUUGUAUAGAGACUUGACAGAAAAUUUUCUGUCAGUGGUCAGCAUCCACAAAGGUUUAUCUCUUCCCCCAUGCAUCAGAACUUCCUCACAUCUCACUCUCAUGCUAUUCCAAAGUUGCUCAGCAUCUCCAUAAAGUGAUCUCCUGAAAGUAAAACCACUCCAUCCUUUAUCAAUAGCAUCUCUAACUGUUAUCCCAUGAUCAUUACUAAUGAAGAACAGAGAAGGGUAGGCCUCUUUAAGAGGUUUAUCCCCUACCCACCAAUCUUCCCAAAACCUGGUAUUUUUUCCAUCCCCCAAUUUUUUCUUAAUAUGUGGGUCGAAGUAUUUCCUAACUUUCAAGAUGUUAGACCAAAACUGGGAAUCCCCACUUUUGUGUUUGAUUCCAGAGAGACAUUUGUCCCCAACAUAUUUUUCUUUGAUGAUCCCCUGCCAAAAUCCCUCAUCGUUCUCUAUUUCCAUAGCCACUUAGCUAAUAAAGCAAUGUUAAACAUUUCAAUGUUGGUAAUCCCCAUACCCCCUUGCUGUUUUGGAAGACAGCAAGUUUUCCAAUUCACCAGGUGGUACUUCCUCUUAUCUUCUUCUGAUUGCCACACCAUCCUGGCUCUAUAAAAGUCUACUUUUUUCCUAACUCCAGCUGGUAAAAGAUAAAAGGACAUCAUGUAUAUAGGAAUAUUGGAUAAGCAGGACUGCACCAAAGUGACUCUACAUGCAAUAUUUAGUAGUCUACCCUGCCAACAGGCACAUCUUUUAUCAUUUUUUCAGUUACAUUCUUCCACAUUUUAUUUCCGAUUCUUUUAUUGGACACGGGUAAGCCAAGAUAUUUCAGGGCGUCUCCCCCAGAAUGCAGGUGAAAAUUUCCUGAUACAAAUCUUUUCUCUCUUUAGCCUCCCAAAACAAGAAUAUUUCACUUUUAUGGAAAUUUAUUGUCGGUCCAAACAUCUGUUCAAAAGCAGUUAGGAUAAAUUUCAGAUUCCUAGCAGAAUUUUCAUCAUCUUGAAUCAAGAAAAAUAGUGUCAUCCGCAUAUUGCAGCAUAUUGACCCCAUUUUCAUGGCAAUUAGUGAGUACCCCUUUCACAAACCCUUCCGUUCUAGCUUUGUCUAAAAUAAUGGCAAGGGCAUCAACUGCAAGAUCAAAAAGUAGGGGAGAUAAAGAAUCACCCUGCCUAAGCCCCUUAAAGGUUUUGAAAUAAGGACCUAUGUCAUCAUUCACCUUGACUCCAACAUGCCCCCCCCCCCCUCAUAGUGUGCAUCACCCAGUCACACCAUUUAUCAGGGAAUUUUUUCAAUUUAAGCAUCUUAUAGACAAAAGCCAUUUGAUUUUGUCAUAUGCUUUUUCAAAAUCAACUUUGAACAGCAUAGCACUUUGUUUUUUAGUGUGAAUAGAAUUAAGAGCCUCAUGUAGUAUCACAACACCCUCCAUAAUAUAUCUACCUUUCACAAAGGCAGUUUGAAUUGGAGAAAUAAUUAGGUUAACUACCUUGCUCAAUCUGUUCAUUAGCACUUUAGUGAUAAUCUUGAAACUGACAUUCAAGAGGCAAAUUGGCCUAAACUUUUGAAUUUGUCUAGCACCUUUAACCUUUGGGACUAGGGUGAUAAUCCCAUAAUUCAAUCUGGCCAAGUCAACUUUGCCACUAUGAAAAUCAUCUAAGAUAGCUUUUAAGUCUGUUUUAGUAACUCCCAAAAAUGUUGGUAAAAAUCUACAGCAAAUCCAGACCUGGACUUUUGUUUUUCUCCAUAUUAAAAACCACAUCUCUGAUUUCUUCCAAACUAAAAGGUUUAAUCAAAUCAGAUUCUUCCUGUGGGGAGAUAACCUCAGGGUUUUGGUGUCCAAGUUAAUGUUGGACUUAUCUGCUUGACCAAAUAGGUUUUUGUAAUAAUUGGUUAUAUGUUCCAUGAGUUUGGCAUCUCCCUCAAUGGGCUCCCCCUCAUGUUCUAGAGUAGUUAUCCUAUUUUUCCUUCUUCUGCCAUUAACUUUGGCAUGGUAGUACCUAGUAUUAGAAUCUCCCUCCUUUAUCUCUCUAUCUUUAUAUCUUUGCAACCAUUUAAUUUCCUCCAUCUUAAAGAUGUCCUUUAGUUCUUUCCUCCAAUUUUUUUGAAUCUCUCUAUCUUGUGCACUAAGACCAUUAGUCUCAGCUUUUUUAUCUAUCUCAUCUAAUAACUCCAGUAGUUCUUUUUUCCUCUUUCUGUAAGCAGCAUUUGAUGAUAAUCCAUCCUCUAAUCUUCUAUCUAAUGUUUCUCAUUUUUGUUUGCCAAAUGUCUAAGCUAGAGCCUUUACAUUUAAUAUUCCAAUUUUUUCCCACAAAUUCCUUAAACCCCUCCAUGAGCAUCCAGGCAUUUUCGAAUCUGAAAAUGGGCUGGCUUUUUUUGUGAUUUCCAGUGUCUAACAACAAGGGGGUGUGGUCAGAUAUUUCCCUUUCCAUGGCAUUCACCAUGGCUAGGGGGUAUUUGUCCUCUCAAUCAGGGUAGAUUAAAAUUCUGUCAAGUUUCUCAUAUGUGGGCUCAGGCAAAUUAUUUGCCCAGGUGUACUUCCUCCCAUUCAAAGGAAGGUCUCUGAGCCCAGCAUGUUCGAUAAUUGCAUUAAAGACAAAGCUAAAAUGAUCUAGUCCUCCAGGUUUGUUCUUUUCUGAACUGUUCUUGAUAAGAUUAAAGUCACCCCCAAUCACACAAGGCUGUGGAUUAUCUUGAUAGAAUCUAGAGAGUUCAGCCAAGAAGGUUGCUUUCCCAUCUUUUUGAGCAUCACCAUAAACUGUAACUAGAUUCCAGCUAAAUUUAGCUAUUUUGUCAAAAAAAAUGAAUUUUAACAAAAUAAACUCCUUUUUCUACUUGUAUCACAUUAAAACAAUCAUUAUUAAUUCCUACUAAGAUUCCACCAGAUUUACCUCUAGGGGCAAUCCAUUCCCGGAGGAAAUUUCUUCCUCCGGCAAGGUUGUGUAACUCAUUUUUUGUAAAAUCACUUUUAAUAGUUUCCUGGAGUCCAACAAAAUCCAGUUGUUUCUCCAGGAUGGUAUCUCUAAUAAAAUUUCUUUUAAUAUCUUGCCCAAUUCCUCUCACAUUCCAAAAUAGGCCUCUCAUUUUUUUUCUUUUUGUUUUUCCUCACUUUGGUCCCCCCACUCAAGAUGGAUUUUUCCCCAGCACCAAAUGCCGGCAUCCCACCUGUCAUUUUUCUGUUACUGGAGAAAAUCUUUUUUAAUUUGUCAUAAUGAUCUUUUUCUAUAUCAUCCUCAGUGUUAUCUCCUUCUGAAUACAAAUCUUCCAGCUCAACAUCUUCAAUGUCAAUGAGACUUGGAGAGUCAUCUUUUUUCUCCUCCCUGUUUUUAUUAAUUGAAUUUUGGAGAUAUAUAUCUCUUCUAGCCUGUUCCAUAUUAGAAAUCAGGUCUAGAUUUUGUGCAACCAUAUCUAAUGCACACCCCAAAUCAAUCCCAACUUUGCUUGCCAUAUCAUAUAAAGAAUUUUUUUCAUCAAAUAGAGUAGAAUCCUUACCAUAAUUGUCUUUUUCAGCUGCCCUUUCCUUGGCCAGGUCUUCUAUUUUAGCAUCCUUCUUAUCCAGGUUUCUAUCACUUCUUCUAGUAGGUCCAUCUUUAUCUUCGUCCUUGUCUCCUCCUUCCUUUUUGUGAAUUCCUAACUUUGAGCCUAGGGAUUCCACCGAAUCUUGACUGGCUGAAUAAUCCACUGGUUCUGCAUAUGCAUCUUCAGGUGUGUGGUCACGGGGAAUUUCAGUCUCAAGCUCAUUUUUCUCACCUAAGUCUUCUCCAUAGAUCUCUUUUUCUUCCCAAGCAUUAAUUUUUUCCAUGCACUUGUUAAUCAUAUCUUGUUGACCUUGAAUCAUUUCUAGCAAACUCUUCUUCUCUAUUUUCCAAUUAGCAUUCUUUUUUUCCCUCCACAGCUCUCCAGGCAUCAUUUCUGCAUCUGAUUUCCUCAACUUCUUGGAAUUUUUUUAAAGCUUAUCUAGCUCAGCCUCAACUUUCUUCGUCAAACCCACCUCCAUGAGGUAACCUUUCUGUAUCUUCAAUAUCUCCUCAUUUUUUUGCUGCAUCUCCUCAAACUGUUUGAGCCCCACACUUCCCAGAGAGAUAUUUUCCUUACAUCCAUCUGAUCCCAUUUCUCCAAUUUUGAUUUUGUUGGCCUCCCAUUGCUGUUUUAUCUGACUCAGCAUCCAUGUUCUCAAACUUUCUUUUUUCUUCAUACCAACCCUGUUCAACCACCUCUUCCAACUCUAUAUUGAUCUGUAGAUCAUCAGGUCCUUGUCAGUAAUCUCAGUAUGGUGGGGGAUUUUUUCAUAGUCUCUUACUCCCACUUUAGCCCUGAUUUUUUCUUUCAGGAUAGUGGUCAUAUCAAUUUCUAAAACAGGACCAACAAAAGCAGCCACCUCACACAUCCCAAAGAAAUGCCUAAAGCACUCAGGAAUUUUCCCAAACUGUACCCACACUGUGUGUAAUUUGCCAAUAGCCUGAGUGUCAAAGGUCCAACUGUCUACAUUGAUCACAGCAUUGGUCCCCAGCAAGUUGAAGUUUCCAAAUUUGUGGAGCUCUGCCAGUCUGCUCUUGCUAGGGAAUCUCAUCAAGUAAGCUGUGUCUCCAUGUUUUUUGCAUCUCCACUGCUAGUUCCAGCUGAACAUAUAAUUGAACCCCUCCAGGAACUGUGUUUCAUUGAUCUCCCCUGAAGAUAUGUUCACAAUGGCCAUAGGAUUAGUCUGUUCACUACUAACUAUCUCUUUUGAGUUCUGUACCAGCAGCACACCUAGACCUCUGGCAGCAUAUCCAAUAAACUUUGGGGUAGGUUUGAUUUGCUUCAGCCAUGCACAUUCCUCAGUGACAUGAGAGUUCUUGCCACAGAUGAUGCAAUUAGGUAACUUGCAGUCUCUAGUCAGAUGUCUGGUGUCUUUGCACUUGUUGCACAACAUUCUGAAAUUACCCCCAGCAUUGUUCUGAUCCAUGUUCUCUCUUUGUCCAAACCUGUUGCUCUGUAUCCAUCCUUUCUGCCCUUGUUUAUUUCCCAUAUCCAUAUCAGCUUUACUUUUUUUCAUGGAUUCUUUCCCUCCAGCAAGCACUUUUUUGGUCUCAUCAGGCAUAUCGCAUCUACUGCUACUAGAGAGGACAACAUUUCCUCCCCCAGAUGAGCUUUCCAUCUUUUGUUGGGCCAUCUGGGCCAUCAAAGCCCCAAACCACUGUUGCUGUUGGAUCAGAUCAAAGGAGGGAGCCAGCGCCGCGACAUCAUCUUUGCCCUUAAGAUCUCUAGUCAUAUGUUCCUCUUGCAACUUCUUCACAUUUUCUUCCUUGGAACUCACAGGCAACCUCAGAUCUGCCAUCCCUCUCUUCUUUUCCUCCCCCUGCUGAUCAGAUUUUCUUGAUUCUUCUCUGUACCCAAAUCUUCCACCUCCUCUAUCAUUGUUGGGGUAGAUCUCUCUGAAUCUAUCUAGGUCUUCUUCCUUUCUUCUAUACUGGAAACUAUCUCUCCCCCCUCUAUUAAAUCUUCCUCCUCCCCGAUAUCCACCAGGCCCCCUGUUCAUCAUCUCUCCCUCUUCCUUCUCACCUAGCGGCGGCGGGGGAAGGGGAAACCCUAAGUCCUCAAGGGGAUCGUACUCUCUCUCAAAGCAGAGGAGAGGCGCACUAUUUAUAGGCAGGAAAGCUUGGGAAAGCGUAUUGCUAAAACCCAUUUCCCCUUUUUGCUUUAUACAUUUUUCCUUAGCUUUAUCUGAUGUCUUUUCACCCCAACUGGGGAGAGACAUCUCAUUCCUACUCAUCAUCUCUCCAAACACUGUAACUUGGCAUCCAUUACUGACCAUAUCAUCUAUAUACACAUCUUCGUUAGCCCAGAAGUCGGGAUUAUGCGCAAAAUUUGCACAAGUACUCCCUUCGUUCCUAAAUAUAAAUCUUUUUGAAGAUUUCAAUAUGAAUAGUGUAGAUUCACUUAUUGUAUUCCGUAUGUAGUCCAUAUUGAAAUCUCCAGAAAGGAGGGAGUAGUACGGACUAGACAAACGGAGUGCCAAAUCUCAUAUGCACUGGUACCUCAUAUGCACUGGUACAUUGCUCGGAGUGGCAAAUCCUCUCGUCUUCGUGCCACCUGUAUUUUUGAAAAGAAAUGGUUUUACCGCAGGGCGCAGGCACCGCGAUUGCCUGCGUGCUGCUGGGUGGAAGCUGCUGCUGGAGCAGUAUUCCGGAAUCUACUACCGUGCAGGAGUAUUCGUCCGCGUUGGCGCCUUGCAGCAGCUUCCAAGUUCCAAGAGUCAGAACUCAGAACCGUACCAAACUUUUUUUUUUUAAAGAGAAAGGAGAGAGCCGUACCAACCCCACCGACGGUCCAGAUCUGAAACGGGAGACCGAUACGGGGGCAGUAGCACAACUGUACUGUACACGAGCACAUGCCGCACAGCCCCGUUUGGCUUGGCGUCUUGCCUGGCCCACAUGUCACUCUCCCGGUUAGGCUCCCCGCCAACCUGCCCACCCCACCCGGGUCAAACCGGGGACCAAAUCGCCACACGUACUGCUGCAGACCAAACCAGCGGCGGGCCCCACCUCGAACCGAACCCCGGGCCUGGCCUGGAGCACCAAACCGGUCCCCGACCUACCCACCUAGAAAACGUUCAAAUUUCGCCCGAAAGUACUACAAAUAUCCUCCAAAUUCAAAUGGCACGGGGCGGUGAAUUCGAGAGAAAACAAAUCAAAAACCGCGCCGAGUGGCGCGUGGCUCUAGCAGUAUAAGAUUGGCGGGUUUGUGCCGCGUCUGGGCCUCGCCUCGAUUUUGCCGGCCGAGCGUUUACUUGCCUGCUGUAUUCUUCUCUUCUCCUCCUCGAUCUCGAGGGCGGACGGAGAGAUAGAGAGAGAGCCAGAGGGGUGGCCUCGGGGUCGGAACUCGGAAGCGUCCAUGUUUUGACCUCGCCCGGGUCGCCUCCUCGUCCUCGCCCCGCGAUCCAGAUCUGAGGUGAGCGCCCCUGCCUUCCUCCGCUCCCCCAUUUCCUUCUUCCUCCCUGCGUAAUUCGUCCGUCCGGGCGGCCGGAUCUGGAUCCUCUGCCUCCGGCGCUGGAUCCGUGUCGCCUCGUCGGGCUGUCUGUCUGUCUGUCUGUCGGUAUAGUUCGUUUUCCCCCGCUGGUUAUUGUCGUUGAUUUCAGGGGAUUGUUGACUGGUCGUGCGUGAACAUGCUCGUUCUUACCGGUGAAUGGCGGUUAUCGUUCUCGGUUUCAGAGGAUCGGUCGAUUACGUGUCUCUGUUGCUGGUUAGGCCCGCAGCUCCGGGUGUAGGAGUAUUGGUCCUUGCUUGGUAGAUCAUCUGUGUUCGAUUUCGUGCAUGCAUGUUGGCGAUUAUAUAACUGAGUAGUACUCUGUUCGAUGCAAAUGCGUUCGUCUUUAAUUAUGUGUUCUGUUGCUAUAUCCUCGUGAUUAUAUCAACGAAAAAAAAA
rnacentral:lncRNA from 1 species